rnacentral:rRNA from 1 species
CGCGUAGGCGGGGUUGUGGGUCGAUCGUGAAAUCCACCGGCUCAACCGGUGAACUGCGGUCGAAACUACAACUCUUGAGCUCGGUAGAGGAAGGCGGAAUUCCUGGUGUAGCGGUGGAAUGCGUAGAUAUCAGGAAGAACACCGGUAGCGAAGGCGGCCUUCUGGGCCGGAGCUGACGCUGAGGCGCGAAAGCCGGGGGAGCGAACAGGAUUAGAUACCCUGGUAGUCC